GGUGGUGGUGGGGGGCACAAUAUGAUCUGCAUUUACAGAGCCAAAGGAUUCCUGCAUGGGAGAGGGCAAAGACCAUUAUACUCCAUAGGGGCAAACUAGCCCAAGUGUAGAGUUUCAGGGAGAUGGAUUUUAGCUCAAUAUAAGAGAGACUUUCCUAAUAUUGUUCCAGAAGUAGAAUGUGAUACAUUAUAGAUCAUGAGCUCCCAAUCCCUGAAAGUAUUCAAGAAAAGAUUAUAAGGACUCGGGCCUCACAUGUGACUCACACAAGACCAGAUUUAUCACAUUAGAAUUCCGGUUUUGAUGCAUCCAGGCAGGAAUUACUGGGCUAGAUAAUCCAAGGAAUUUUAUGAUCUUCAGUUAAGAAUCGCUACUACAGACAAACAUAGUGGUUGAACUGUCAAAGACUAAUAAUCAGUGAGAAAACUAAAAACUUUUUUUUUAAGAUUUUAUUUAUUAAUGAGAGACAGAGAGAGAGAGAGAGAGAGCGAGGCUGAGACACAGGCAGAGGGAGAAUGGAGAAGCAGGCUCCAUUCAGCGAGCCUGACGUGGGACUUGAUCCCAGGUCCCCAGGAUCAGACCCUGGGUGGAAGGCGGCGCUAAAAUGCUGAGCCACCCGGGCUGCCCCUAAAAACUUUUCUUUUGAAAUAUCCUAAUAACAAUGUUUUAACAAUAACUAGAGAGGAACAUGAAUUUGCAAUCAAUUCAAUGAGCUAGCUCCUCUGGAAGACCUGGGCUCUUGCCAGGUUGCUACCACUCUUCCUACUCACCUAGCACUGUAGUAUAUGGAAGGCACUUCACUACAUUCUAUUUAAGCACUAUUCCUUCUCUCUGCUCAGCUCUAGAACCUCUAACUACAGCAACAGUCAUCAUCUUGCUGUUCCAUGGAUUACAUGGCUCAUGUGCCAGGCACUGUGUUGAACAUGGGGAUGCAAUAGCCUUCAGCCCUCAAGACGCUUGCUGGGCCAGUAAACAAUCACAGUACAGGGCUUCAGAGGAAUAAUCAGUUCCCAAAUAUUUAACAAGCCCUGGGGCCCCCUCUUGUUGCCCACAGUCUAACAAUGGAGAAAGUUGCAGACCCUGAAAAGUGCUGUGGGAAAGGUUAGCCUGCCGGGACACUUUGGGCUUAUUCAGGAGGGGCACUCAGUCUCAGAGGAUGGGCUGAGGGAAGGCUUUCUGGAGGAAGUGAUAUCUAGUUGAAACCUGAAAGUUGAGCAGAUGGCCAAAAGGGCGGGGAGGGAAUUGUGUCCCAAGCAGAGGCAACAGCAUAGCAUGGGAUCCCUGAGGAAGUAUAAGCCUUGUAAGAAAAGAUCAGCUGGGUCAGCUCCAUCAGGGACUCAACUGUCACAAUGAGAGGUAUGGACUUCUUCCCAAGCUAAUGAAAAACCAUUUUAGAAUUUUGAGCAGGGAUAUGAUCAGGCUUAAACUUGAGAAAAAUUACUGGCU
rnacentral:lncRNA from 1 species